rnacentral:rRNA from 1 species
GACGAACGCUGGCGGCGUGCUUAACACAUGCAAGUCGAACGCUGAAGCUUGGUGCUUGCACUGGGUGGAUGAGUGGCGAACGGGUGAGUAAUACGUGAGUAACCUGCCCUUGACUCUGGGAUAAGCCUGGGAAACUGGGUCUAAUACUGGAUACGACAUGUCACCGCAUGGUGGUGUGUGGAAAGGGGUUUACUGGUUUUGGAUGGGCUCACGGCCUAUCAGCUUGUUGGUGGGGUAAUGGCUCACCAAGGCGACGACGGGUAGCCGGCCUGAGAGGGUGACCGGCCACACUGGGACUGAGACACGGCCCAGACUCCUACGGGAGGCAGCAGUGGGGAAUAUUGCACAAUGGGCGGAAGCCUGAUGCAGCGACGCCGCGUGAGGGAUGACGGCCUUCGGGUUGUAAACCUCUUUCAGCACGGAAGAAGCGAAAGUGACGGUACGUGCAGAAGAAGCGCCGGCUAACUACGUG